rnacentral:rRNA from 1 species
ACGCUGGCGGCGUGCUUAAUACAUGCAAGUCAACUUGACUUUAGAUAGCAAUAUCGAAAGUAGGGUGGCGCACGGGUGCGUAACGCGUAGGUAAUCUGCCCUGAGGUCUGACAUAACCCGUCGAAAGGCGGGCUAACAUCAGAUGAUAUAUAGUCACGACAUCGUGGAAAUAUCAAAUCUUCGGAGCCUUGGGAUGAGCCUGCGUCUGAUUAGGUAGUUGGCGGAGUAAUAGCCCACCAAGCCUACGAUCAGUAGCUGGUCUGAGAGGAUGAUCAGCCACACUGGAACUGAGACACGGUCCAGACUCCUACGGGAGGCAGCAGUAAGGAAUAUUGCUCAAUGGGGGGAAACCCUGAAGCAGCAACGCCGCGUGAAGGAUGAAAUACUUUGUAUGUAAACUUCUGUAAGAUGGGAAAAAUAUUCUCCUCGGGAGAAUUGAUUGUACCAUCAGAGUAAGCCCCGGCUAACUACGUG